CCGACGGCGAGCCCGACGGCGCGCCCAUCGCCGCCAUCUCGCCCUCCAAGCUGCCGCUGGGCCCCUUGCAUGGCAGCCCCCUGUCGGUAGCCGGGGUGGCGGAUGCGGUGUGAGGGCGGCGCCCCAGCUGGCCGCUCCUUCAGCGGCAGCUCGACGCCGCAGCGAGAGGGCACCGACUGGUCCCCACCCUGUGCGAAAUUCUGUCAUACAAGGCGUUACGACAGAGGCCGUGGCUACGCAUGCAACAUGCUGACUUCUUCCCCUGCAGAGAGAGGUCUUCUACAUCCAAGUAUACAGGCUCAUAUCCGCUUACACGCCACGUUUCCGUCGGCUGCAAGAACAUAAGAAACUGUGGCAGUGGCAUGCUUAACAUUACCGGUAUCUGUGAAAGAUACUGCAUGAUAAACAACCCCACUGCUGACGUAUUGACUCUGAAGGGCAUAAAAGUUACUUAAAACAUACUAUUCUUCAUUUUACGCAGAGUGACUGAAAUUAUAGCUAUAGAAAAUAUCUAAAAGAUUUCUAAAACUAGCAAGAAAAAAUACAGUACACCAAAUAAGAAAAUUAAAAUUUUCUUAGCUCUAGGGAACAGGGUUAUAGGAGCGUCUAUUUUUGAUGACUGCCUAAUUUGUAAAUAUACUC